rnacentral:rRNA from 1 species
UACGUAGGUGGCGAGCGUUGUCCGGAUUUACUGGGCGUAAAGGGCGUGCAGGCGGUCUGCUAAGUCUAGGGUGAAAGCUCCCGGCUCAACUGGGAGAGGUCCUUGGAUACUGACAGACUUGAGGGAGGCAGAGGAGAAUGGAAUUCCCGGUGUAGUGGUGAUAUGCGUAGAUAUCGGGAGGAACACCAGUGGCGAAGGCGGUUCUCUGGGCCUUACCUGACGCUGAGACACGAAAGCGUGGGGAGCGAACCGGAUUAGAUACCCGGGUAGUCCACGCCGUAAACUAUGAACACUAGGUGUGGGGGGUAUCGACCCCCUCCGUGCCGAAGCUAACGCAGUAAGUGUUCCGCCUGGGGAGUACGGCCGCAAGGCUAAA